AUCGAACGCUGGCGGCAGGCCUAAUACAUGCAAGUCGAGCGGAGCGGCGGACGGGUGAGUAAUGCCUAGGAAUCUGCCUGGUAGUGGGGGAUAACGUCCGGAAACGGGCGCUUAUCCCGCAUACUAUCAGAUGAGCCUAGGUCGGAUUAGCUAGUUGGUGGGGUAAAGGCCUACCAAGGUGACGUUCCGUAACCGGUCUGAGAGGAGGAUCAGUAACACUGGAACUUAGACACGGUCCAGACUCCUACGGGAGGCAGCAGUGGGGAAUAUUGGGCAAUGGGCGAAAGCCUGAUCCAGCCAUGCCGCGUGUGUGAAGAAGGUCUUCGGAUUGUAAAGCACUUUAAGUUGGGAGGCGGUACCAACAGAAUAAGCACCGGCUAACUUCGUGCCAGCCGCCGCGGUAAUUC
rnacentral:rRNA from 1 species